UAAAGGAGAGGGAGUUCGUCCGACGACGCGCGGACCGAGGGGCGAGAGGAGCGAGAGGGACGGGGGCGGGAGGCCGCGCGAGUAGCUUCGAAGAGGGGAGGUACAUAAGACCCGCGACGGACGAACGGGAGCGAAACGAACCCGUCGACGGGGGGACGAGGACGAGCGACGAAGGAGGGGACGGAAAUAGUGCCAUAAAUACGAACAUUUUUCGGUGGGGUUCCCUGUUUUGACAAUCAUCCCCUCUCUACAAGAUACUUCGUCAAGGGAACCUCCUCCCCCCUCCCGUUUUCCUCCUGCAAUUUUACCAGGCACCUUCUUUUCUCCCCCUUAUAAAUAUAAUACGUACACACACACACACGCGCGCGCGCGCCCGCGCGCGUAUAUACAUUUUUCGGGCUUGUUCCGCCACCCCUCCGCCCUCCCAUUCCGCUACCCCUCUUUUUUUUACCGCUAACCACCCCUGGUUCGCCACUGGCGGAUUCGCGUUCGCCACCCCCCCCCCCCCCCCCCUUUGCGAUUCCCCGUGGAUCGCCCGUUCCUUCUCCCUGAAAAAAAAGAAACCCCCCUAUACGUGCUGUACGUAUAGAUAUUUUAUACAUUUUGCUCGUUUUGACAUUUAAUAUGAAAGUUAAGCCCACCUUAAACUUUGAAGAAUUUCGAGCCCAGGAGAGCUUGCGGUAUAUAUCGUAACAAUGGAGAAAUUGAUAAUUGAAAAUACAUAUCGAAAUGGAAGAACCGAGAACGGGAAAACAUAUAUUGGGCGGAGUACCUAUGCGAUACGUGAAAUGACAUAAAAAAAUAUACAUUAAACAAAGAGAAAGAGAGAGAGAGAGGGAGAGAGAGAGAGAAAGAGAGAGAGAGGGAAAAACAGUUAACAGCGUUUUUUUCUCCCUAUUUUUCCCCUUCUCCAAGUUUCCCUUCCGGUAUAUUAUAAAUGAAUGUUUCAAAAUCACCGGCGUUCGUGAUGGUGGUGGGCGAGUUUCGAACAUCGUCGUCAUAAGCGCGUUCAGAAAAAUUUGAAUCAAAUUAAGGUUCCUAUAGCUAACUUAUCUGUAAACUGAUAGCGGCGUAACCAAUGGAAGAAAAAAGAAAAAAUAGAAAAUAGAAAAAAAGAAAACACGAAGCAAAACUAACUUAAAAGUUUAGAGAGAGCUCCGCGUUGAAAACUUAUUUUUAUUUUUACGUUCUUUUUCCAUUUUUUUCCCCAAUUUAUUUUUCAUUUAUUAUUACUAUUAUUACAGCGAUGAUUAUUGUCGUCAUUCUUUUUUCUAUUUUUUCUUCUUUUUUUUUUUUUUUCGGUAUUUCUUUUUAUGCUCCACGAACUAUACGAGCAAAGAAUUGGUUUCUUUCAAAGAUAUUAUAAAUAUAUACACGGACACAUGCACAAAUGUUGUACAUGGAUGUUCCUAUAUAGAGUCGGAACGAGAUACAUGGAAUACAUAGGUAUACAUAUAUAAUACUGAAAAGUCACCUAGUUGGAAGGUAUAAGGCAUGAACGAGGUUACAAAUAAAUGUUACACCUAGUCGGUCAAUAAAUUUCACCGGUAAGUUGAACGCAAAAAGAUUGGGAACAAAUAAUAUUCACACCGUAUCUGUACAAUAUCUAUUUGAAUGAAAAAAAAACAGACAUGAUAAUAAAACAAGAGAAAUAAAAAAUCCGAUUAAAUUUCAUCAAAAAAAAAAAAA